rnacentral:misc_RNA from 1 species
GAUGAAGAACGUAGUGAAAUGCGAUAAGUAGUGUGAAUCGCAGAAUUCAGUGAAUCAUCGAAUCUUUGAACGCACAUUGCGCCCUUUGGUAUUCCAAAGGGCAUGCCUGUUCGAGCGUCAUUUGUACCCUCAAGCUUUGCUUGGUGUUGGGCGUCUUGUCUCUAGCUUUGCUGGAGACUCGCCUUAAAGUAAUUGGCAGCCGGCCUACUGGUUUCGGAGCGCAGCACAAGUCGCACUCUCUAUCAGCAAAGGUCUAGCAUCCAUUAAGCCUUUUUUUCAACUUUUGACCUCGGAUCAGGUAGGGAUACCCGCUGAACUUAAGCAUAUCAAUAAGCGGAGGA